rnacentral:rRNA from 1 species
UACGUAGGGGGCAAGCGUUGUCCGGAUUUAUUGGGCGUAAAGAGCGUGUAGGCGGCUUUACAGGUCCGUUGUGAAACUCGAGGCUCAACCUCGAGACGCCGGUGGAAACCGUAAAGCUAGAGUCCGGAAGAGGAGAGUGGAAUUCCUGGUGUAGCGGUGGAAUGCGCAGAUAUCAGGAGGAACACCAAUAGCGAAGGCAGCUCGCUGGGACGGUACUGACGCUGAGGCGCGAAAGCGUGGGGAGCGAACAGG